rnacentral:rRNA from 1 species
UCUGGUUGAUCCUGCCAGAGGUCACUGCUAUCGGGGUUCGAUUAAGCCAUGCGAGUCGAGAGGGUUCGGCCCUCGGCGUACUGCUCAGUAACACGUGGAUAACCUGCCCUAAGGAAGGGGAUAACCCCGGGAAACUGGGAAUAAUACCCUAUAGGUUACAGAUGCUGGAAUGCUCUGUAACUCAAAGUUCAGGCGCCUUAGGAUGGAUCUGCGGCCGAUUAGGUUGUUGUUGGGGUAACGGCCCAACAAGCCAGUAAUCGGUACGGGUUGUGGGAGCAAGAGCCCGGAGUUGGAUUCUGAGACACGAAUCCAGGCCCUACGGGGCGCAGCAGGCGCGAAAACUUUACAAUGCGGGCAACCGUGAUAAGGGAACCUCGAGUGCCUGUAUAUGCAGGCUGUCCAGGUGUCUAAAACACACCUGAAGAAAGGGCCGGGCAAGACCGGUGCCAGCCGCCGCGGUAAUACCGGCGGCUCGAGUGGUGGCCACUUUUAUUGGGCUUAAAGCGUUCGUAGCUGGGUUGUUAAGUCUCUUGGGAAAUCCGGCGGCUCAACCGUCGGGCGUCUAAGAGAUACUGGCAGUCUUGGAACCGGGAGAGGUGAGGGGUACUUCGGGGGUAGGAGUGAAAUCCUGUAAUCCUCGAGGGACCACCUGUGGCGAAGGCGCCUCACCAGAACGGCUUCGACAGUGAGGGACGAAAGCUGGGGGAGCAAACCGGAUUAGAUACCCGGGUAGUCCCAGCCGUAAACGAUGUGCGUUAGGUGUAUCGACGACCACGAGUCGUCGAGGUGCCGAAGGGAAACCGUGAAACGUACCGCCUGGGAAGUACGGUCGCAAGGCUGAAACUUAAAGGAAUUGGCGGGGGAGCACCACAACAGGUGGAGCCUGCGGUUUAAUUGGACUCAACGCCGGGAAUCUCACCGGAUAAGACAGCGGAAUGAUUGCCGGGCUGAAGACUCUGCAUGACUAGCUGAGAGGAGGUGCAUGGCCGUCGUCAGUUCGUACUGUGAAGCAUCCUGUUAAGUCAGGCAACGAGCGAGACCC